AGGGCAGGGAAAGCAGGGUCAGAAGUAGUCUUGGCACAUCAGGUGGCAGUUCCCAAGGGGGUUUCUGUGAUCUAACCCGUCAUACCCACUCUCCUAGUACUAGUAUUUGUCUGUAACUAGCCCUGGGUGCUGGGACAAGGGAGAGGAAGGCAAGGAAAGUUUGGAUGGGCUUAGGCAGCCUUGUGAGCUGAUGGCUUUGCCUAAUCAGCAGUUUGGGAAGGCAAGGAUAGUGGAAAAUGAGUGUCCCCAGAGAUGAGCUGCCAAAAUCUUGUUAGGUCCAAGGAAAAUGGAGUAUAGAACAGGUUGUUUGGCCAGCUUAGCCAAAGUUAGGCUAACUGUAGUUGCUGGGCCAUUCCUGUCUCUCUGUGAAACAUGAGGACAUGCUUGCUUGGGCUUCAAAGAAUGAGAUAAAGGGGGGGCCGUAUUCUUGUACCAAAUAUACUAGGAACGGUUUGUUUGGACAUAUGAAGACUUGCAGUCUCCACUCCCUGUUUCUGUUCUUAACUCCCUCCUUUCGCCUAGUUUCUGGUGCAUGACGAAAAAGCUGAUAAGAAGCUGCUGAGGCAUCAUGAACUGUUUGUACUGUCAAACAUAGAUAUGCAUAAAUAUUAGAAGCUUUUAACUAGUAAAGGGGGGGAUUGGGUUGCUUUAACUAUGACGCGACGGAACGGUCUAUAUAAUCUCACUAGUUAUUGUAAUCGUGGCUGGUUCUCUCUGGAGACGCGCCGCUCUCUAUUGUUGUGUGCACUCUUCAAUAAAGAGCUUGUAUUGGACCUUGCUGGUGUUGCCUGUCUCUCACUCUGCGGUCAGACAACGAACCUUGCCGUCUGGGUUAAAAAGUCCCCGACAAUCUUAACAACCGGAUCCCUACCAGGUCUUCAGCGGCAGGUCCUUCAGUGCCGCCAAAGACUCAGAGCAAGUGAAGGACCCGCCGCCGAAGACUCGGAGCGCUGCCUGCACUUGGGGAUGAAACCCUCAUACACGGGCAAGACUGCAACACCCCUCUCCUAAGCAGGGAUCUCCUAGUGCUAUGCAUAGAUGAUGAACUAACUCUACCCCCAACAUUUGCUGCUCCACACACCUAUCUUCAACCCCACAUUGGUGUCACCUACACUGCUGUGGAUGGCGUGAAACAAUCCUUUAAUGACUCCAUCUGUGUCACCGGGCCCCGGGACUCCUUCUUCUUCAAUGUGAUGGAUGUCGCCCAGAAGAGAGACCCCAAAAGCUUCAUGUACACAUUGAGUGUGUGGGGCGCGUACAUCACCUCCGUGCAGGGGCUGGAGGCCCAUCCCGAAGACAGCACCUACUGGCAGCUCCUGAGCUGUGGCAUCCCAUUGACACUAGGUGCUGGGUGCUACGCCGUCUCCCAUGGGGAGAGGCUGGAGGUCAGGUUCUCCAAGUACAAGCUCCAGGGCACUGGCCAGCCUGAGGACAAGGGGUGCUCAUGAAGGUGAAACUGGCCUUUCUACUGUGAGGGAUGCCAGGGUUCAGCAGCCCCACCCAUUCCCCCAGGCAUCUCCCUCUUGGUGGGAUGGACCCUUGGGGACGACUGUGUGUUGUAUUCACAUCCGUGACUGUUUCCCAAACUCUCCCUGUCUCUGUCCCUCACUCCUGAAAUAAACCCUUUGCAACAGC